AGGAAUAUUGGUCAAUGGGCGCAAGCCUGAACCAGCCAAGUAGCGUGAGGGAAGACUGCCCUAUGGGUUGUAAACCUCUUUUGUGCGGGGAUAAAGUGUGGGACGUGUCCCAUAUUGCAGGUACCGCACGAAUAAGGACCGGCUAAUUCCGUGCCAGCAGCCGCGGUAAUACGGAAGGUCCGGGCGUUAUCCGGAUUUAUUGGGUUUAAAGGGAGCGCAGGCCGUCCUUUAAGCGUGCUGUGAAAUGCCGCGGCUCAACCGUGGCACUGCAGCGCGAACUGGAGGACUUGAGUACGCACGAGGUAGGCGGAAUUCGUGGUGUAGCGGUGAAAUGCUUAGAUAUCACGAAGAACUCCGAUUGCGAAGGCAGCUUACCGGAGCGCAACUGACGCUGAGGCUCGAAAGCGCGGGUAUCGAACAGGAUUAGAUACCCUGGUAGUCCGCGCGGUAAACGAUGGAUGCCCGCCGUUGGGUUUUAGAAUUCAGCGGCCAAGCGAAAGCGUUAAGCAUCCCACCUGGGGGGUACGCCGGCAACGGUGAAACUCAAAGGAAUUGACGGGGGCCCGCACAAGCGGAGGAACAUGUGGUUUAAUUCGAUGAUACGCGAGGAACCUUACCCGGGCUUGAAUUGCAGGAGAACGAUCCAGAGAUGGUGAGGCCCUUCGGGGCUCCUGUGAAGGUGCUGCAUGGUUGUCGUCAGCUCGUGCCGUGAGGUGUCGGCUCAAGUGCCAUAACGAGCGCAACCCCUGUCCAUAGUUGCCAUCAGGUCGUGCUGGGCACUCUGUGGAGACUGCCGCCGUAAGGUGUGAGGAAGGUGGGGAUGACGUCAAAUCAGCACGGCCCUUACGUCCGGGGCUACACACGUGUUACAAUGGGGCAUACAGCGAGUUGGAUGUGCGCAAGUACGUCCGGAUCAAUAAAGUGCCUCUCAGUUCGGACUGGGGUCUGCAACCCGACCCCACGAAGCUGGAUUCGCUAGUAAUCGCGCAUCAGCCAUGGCGCGGUGAAUACGUUCCCG
rnacentral:rRNA from 1 species